CGGACGGGUGAGUAACACGUGGAUAACCUACCUAUAAGACUGGGAUAACUUUGGGAAACCGGAGCUAAUACCGGAUAAUAUAUUGAACCGCAUGGUUCAAUAGUGAAAGACGGUUUUGCUGUCACUUAUAGAUGGAUCCGCGCCGCAUUAGCUAGUUGGUAAGGUAACGGCUUACCAAGGCAACGAUGCGUAGCCGACCUGAGAGGGUGAUCGGCCACACUGGAACUGAGACACGGUCCAG
rnacentral:rRNA from 1 species